ACUGUUAAGGAAAAAUGAACAUCUUCCAUGUGCGUGUAGAAUUAGAAGCACUUAGUAAAACUUCUCUUUGAAGAACUAACAUAUAGGUUUUCUUGAUAUUUUUUGUCAUGGACGAAACUCAGACAUGCCUGUAAUGUGAGAGUAAUAUGAAUAAGGAAGAGGAAGAGAUGAAGAGACAUAAGCUCAAAGAAAUAAGGCUACACAAUCACCCCAAAAGAAAUAAACACAUUACAAGACAUAUAUGUCAUACUUUCAUUUCCUUAACUUCUCUAUCCUUCUGUAUGCAUAAGCUAGUAUUCCAUGGAGAAGAAGACAAUGGAAAGUGAGUUGGGGGAAUGGCAAAGUAGUAGACACAAUAGCAGAAUUCUCUCUCAAAUGUAUUAUAAAUGUACUAACCAUUCAUGCAAGAUGCCUUAUGACUACAUUCCUCUGAGAACCCAAAAAAGUACCAAAUAUUAUAUAAAUAAAAGAAAAGGUUGGUCCUCCUUGAAGAGGGUUAUGUACAGCCACAAAAAAGGCAAAUUGUAGAAUUCAUGGGACCUAAAUUCUUUCCUUGUACACAACAACAUAUUUUCUCUCCUCUAACAACUCUUGUAGUUAAAAUGCAUCAAUAUGCUUAAUCAGUUUCACUUUGAAUAAGAUAAUGCCGCAUCACCUAAUCAAACGACAACAUCCUUUCACUUCUCUAUAUAUAAGGCUACCAUUUUGUCCAAUUUCAUAAAAAACAAUUCAGAUUCAAAGUAAUAGUUUCAACACCAACUUUUGCACACUCAAGAGAUAUAUGCAUGUUUCUUUUCUUUCACCACUUAAACUAGUAGUCCUUUUGACAAUAAUUAUUUUUUGCAUAUUUGAUCUUGCGCUAGCGAGCACAACCAGACACUACCAUUUUGAUUUACUUCCUUAAAAGACUAAGGAAAUAUGUUACCAUCAUAACCACUCCAUUCCUUGUGCCUCAACAUAAAAAUAGACACAAUCCCACCUUAAGUCACCACAGAACACUUACUAAUCUUAGUUUCUGCUAUAUAGUUUAAUUAAUUUGGAAAUAUAUUACCAAAUACUAGUUGUAAAAAUAGAACAUGAUGUGGGAUUAAAAAGUAAGAAAUUUUCGUUCAAUCAAAAGAAAAAUGGUGGAACUAAACAGAACACAGAUACUGCCAAGGAAAAAAUUGAGACAAAGGUCUUUUCUUUUGAUAAGUUAAGAACCAUGGCAUUUUUUCAAUACAUAUAUCUACCACACUACCUGAAUCAAAGUUCUCCAAGAACCAAACACUCCAAAUUGGAUUAAUUUAAAUUAUUUAAAUAUGAAUUUAUUAAAAACUGAACACCACCUCAAUUUAUUAAAAACUAUUAUUAUAUGACGAUAAGUAUUGAGGUACUGACUACAACCAGAAAGAACAAAUAGAAUACCUACAAUUCAUUACUUUGAAUUGAAGAAGACAAUUUUGCAUAUAAAGCAGUCGCAAAGAUUGUCUUACCUAUGCCUCCCAUGCCCCAUAUUCCAAUUAGAGCUCAACAUUCUUCCUCAAAUGUGCAGGAUCUACAUUAUACAACACAGUGUUGAUAACCAUUGGAAGUUUAGAGAGUGAAAGGAUGAGAUAGAAAUGUAUUUUUGGUUUUAGUAUUAGUAACAAUUCAGAUGUGACCCAUUUCAAAAUACAAGAACUUCAAUCCAUAAAUCUCAAAUAAGGAUUUUACCAUGUUUCAAUCAAAAAAUUAAAUCAUUUGAAUCUGAAUCUAAACCUAAAAUUAAUUUCAUUAAUUAUUGCAGAGAAGUAACCAAGUUGAAGCAAUGACGAUCAAACAUGCAGUUCGUGUUUCAGAGCAGAACCUGGUCAUGAAGGACCAAACAUUCUAAGUGGCGUGCCGAAAAACAUGAUAAAGACACAAGCAACAGCGUCAGGGCCGACGGAUGGAGUGUUUAUCGUAUCGAUAUUCGACAGAAACGACAACAACCAUGUUGUUUCACUUGUGGAACACUAAAAUACAUUCGAUUCAUGGUGUACUCCCUGUUUAAGCUAUGGUUGAAGGAGAAUGAGAAGUUCCAGAAAAAAAGAGGAACCUAAUUUGAUCUGGAAAGAAGAAAGAGAAUGAGA
rnacentral:lncRNA from 1 species